UACGGAGGGGGCUAGCGUUGUUCGGAAUUACUGGGCGUAAAGCGCGCGUAGGCGGCUUUGCAAGUCAGAGGUGAAAGCCCGGGGCUCAACCCCGGAAUUGCCUUUGAAACUGCAUCGCUAGAACGUCGGAGAGGUGAGUGGAACUGCGAGUGUAGAGGUGAAAUUCGUAGAUAUUCGCAAGAACACCAGUGGCGAAGGCGGCUCACUGGCCCGGUACUGACGCUGAGGUGCGAAAGCGUGGGGAGCAAACAGG
rnacentral:rRNA from 1 species